GGAUAACCUACCCUUAGGACCGGGAUAACCUUGGGAAACUGAGGAUAAUACUGGAUAGGCAAUUUUUCCUGUAAUGGUUUUUUGUUUAAAUGUUUUUUCGCCUAAGGAUGGGUCUGCGGCCGAUUAGGUAGUUGGUUAGGUAAUGGCUUACCAAGCCGUUGAUCGGUACGGGUUGUGAGAGCAAGAGCCCGGAGAUGGAACCUGAGACAAGGUUCCAGGCCCUACGGGGUGCAGCAGGCGCGAAACCUCCGCAAUGUGAGAAAUCGCGACGGGGGGAUCCCAAGUGCCAUUCUUAACGGGAUGGCUUUUCAUUAGUGUAAAAAGCUUUUGGAAUAAGAGCUGGGCAAGACCGGUGCCAGCCGCCGCGGUAACACCGGCAGCUCUAGUGGUAGCAAUUUUAUUGGGCCUAAAGCGUCCGUAGCCGGUUUAAUAAGUCUCUGGUGAAAUCCUGUAGCUUAACUGUGGGAAUUGCUGGAGAUACUAUUAGACUUGAGACCGGGAGAGGUUAGAGGUACUCCCAGGGUAGAGGUGAAAUUCUGUAAUCCUGG
rnacentral:rRNA from 1 species